GACAGAGGUCCCAAGCGUUAGGCGGAAUCACUGGGCUUAAAGCGUGUGUAGGCGGACUUCUAAGUACCUUGUGAAAUCCCACGGCUCAACCGUGGAACUGCUUGGUAUACUGGUUGUCUUGGGCCAUCUAGGGGCUAGCGGAACAAACGGUGGAGCGGUGAAAUGCGUAGAUAUCGUUUUGGAACGCCAAUGGUGAAAACAGCUAGCUGGGGAUGUGCCGACGCUGAGACACGAAAGCCAGGGGGAGCGAACGGG
rnacentral:rRNA from 1 species